rnacentral:rRNA from 1 species
CCUGAGAAACCCGAAAGAUCGAAUGGGGAGAUUCAUCGUCAGCGGUGACGGCGCGCAUGCGGCACGCGAUAUCGUGGAGCCUCGGCCCCGCGGCACGCGUCCGCGUGUAUUUUAAUGCCGGCCAUCGUCGGCGUGCACUUCUCCCCUAGUAGGACGUCGCGACCCGUUGGGUGUCGGUCUACGGCCCGGGUGGGAGCCUGUCUCGUGUUGCGCCACUCAGGCGUUUUGCGCGGUUCAGACCCCCGGUCGCCCGGCCGGCUGCCCGGCGGUAUUCGCACGGUAUCUGGCCGCAAUUAUUUGAACUGCGUCCGGCCCGUCGCAAGCGAGGCAAGUGUAAUAAUCCCGGAUGUACGGAUCCAAUGCCGUCGCCGGGCCUUGCCAGCUGUUGGCUGACGGUGUCCUAGGACUGGCUGGCAGGCAACUGCAAUUAGAUGAUACCGGUCGGCGACGCUACUGCUUUGGGUACUUUCAGGACCCGUCUUGAAACACGGACCAAGGAGUCUAACAUGUGCGCGAGUCAUUGGGAUCAGUGAAGCCCAAAGGCGCAAUGAAAGUGAAGAUCGGCCUUGCGCCGAUCGAGGGAGGAUGGGCCGUCGUUUGCGCGAUGAGGCCCCGCACUCCCGGGGCGUCUCGUUCUCAUUGCGAGAAGAGGCGCACCAAGAGCGUACACGUUGGGACCCGAAAG